AGACCCGAAACCCGGUGAUCUAGCCAUGGGCAGGUUGAAGGUUGGGUAACACUAACUGGAGGACCGAACCGACUAAUGUUGAAAAAUUAGCGGAUGACCUGUGGCUGGGGGUGAAAGGCCAAUCAAACCGGGAGAUAGCUGGUUCUCCCCGAAAGCUAUUUAGGUAGCGCCUCGUGAAUUCAUCUCCGGGGGUAGAGCACUGUUUCGGCUAGGGGGCCAUCCCGGCUUACCAACCCGAUGCAAACUGCGAAUACCGGAGAAUGUUAUCACGGGAGACACACGGCGGGUGCUAACGUCCGUCGUGAAGAGGGAAACAACCCAGACCGCCAGCUAAGGUCCCAAAGUCAUGGUUAAGUGGGAAACGAUGUGGGAAGGCCCAGACAGCCAGGAUGUUGGCUUAGAAGCAGCCAUCAUUUAAAGAAAGCGUAAUAGCUCACUGGUCGAGUCGGCCUGCGCGGAAGAUGUAACGGGGCUAAACCAUGCACCGAAGCUGCGGCAGCGAACGUAUCACUUAAAGCGAUUCAGCGGGUUACGAUUGAUGGAGCGAAGCGACGUCAAAGCGUAUACAAAGUCGAGUCGGUUUAAGGAUACGUUCGUUGGGUAGGGGAGCGUUCUGUAAGCCUGUGAAGGUGUGUCGUGAGGCAUGCUGGAGGUAUCA
rnacentral:rRNA from 1 species